rnacentral:rRNA from 1 species
CCCUUAGAUGUUCUGGGCCGCACGCGCGCUACACUGAUGCAUUCAACGAGCCUAUCCUUGACCGACAGGUCCGGGUAAUCUUUGAAUCUGCAUCGUGACGGGGAUAGAUUAUUGCAAUUAUUAAUCUUCAACGAGGAAUACCUAGUAGGCGCAAGUCAUCAGCUUGCGUCGAUUACGUCCCUGCCCUUUGUACACACCGCCCGUCGCUCCUACCGAUUGGGUGUGCUGGUGAAAUGUUCGGAUCGGCCGUUUGUCGCGGUUUCCGCGGCUCGUGGCUGAGAAGUUCAUUAAACCCUCCCACCUAGAGGAAGGAGAAGUCGUAACA